rfam:Puccinia sorghi strain RO10H11247 Scaffold_1030, whole genome shotgun sequence.
GGAGACAUGGCCGAGUGGUCUAAGGCGCCGUCUUAAGGUUCAGUUUGUGGUUUCACAGUGUGAUCCGGCGGUCUUCGGGCGUGGGUUCGAAUCCCACUGUCUUCA